rnacentral:sRNA from 1 species
AAAAAGAUCCUCUUCU